GUUUGUUCUUUGAAGUCAUCUCUUAUUGUAUAUUGGAAUAUUUUUUAACCAGUUUUUAUGAUGACAACUGAAGAACUCAAUAUAACCAUUGGUGUCUGUGGGUUUAAAAAAAGUUCUUCUACAGACUUUUCCAUCUUGAAUAAACAGCGUUAAAUCUAAGAAAUUAAUUGAGGAUCCUCCCCUUUCAACUGUAAAUUUCAACCCAUAAGAGUUCGAGUUAAUGUAAUCCAAAAAGAGUUGUAACUCUUCCUUCCCACCUUCCCAAUCUUUGAGUACAUCAUCAACAUACUGUUUCCAGGACACCAGGUUCGCAUCAAAUGGAUUAUUGGUCCAGAUAUUUUUCGACUCCCAAUCAGCCACAAAAAUAUUG